GGAAGAAAUUGUGACCUCCUGGGUCAUCACUCAGACUUCGAGUUUUCACAGCUGCUGUUCUGUCUGCCCGGAGAUCCCACUUCAUUUACAUUGGCCUGGUUGGCUUUUUACUUAAUCUCCAUAGAGUCCAGUGUGAGUGACUGUCCCUGACAGCACUUAGUAGUUCUGAGAGUCAAUGCAUGUAUCUUGUUCGAUUUAUUUACCCCAUUGCAUUGGAUUAUGGGUUUAACAGUCUCCCUGUCAUGCUGCAAAUGAAAUCUUUAUAUCCAAGCACCUGGGGCAAAGUUUUAAAAAUAAUGGCUCCUAUUUGAUUGAAUUAAAUGCUGAGAAAGUGGUUGCAUGGCUGGUUCCUCUUCACCGACAAGGCGGGGGAUGUUGCUUGUGAGUAGGACUGUAUCCUGAGCUAUCCGGAAGCCAUGUUCUAAAUCCUGGAAGAUAAGUGUGACCUUCUAGGCAGGAACUCUAAAAUAAGAAAUGGCUAACUGCACUUGGGAGUUCUGACAUGGAUUAAAAAUGACCUUGACAAGAGGAAACUGAGAAGGACUCCACUGGAGUCCCCAGGGGCCAUUUAGAGAACUUUCUUGGAAAACUGAGGAGGGAAAGAGACUCUGGACCAAGCAUAAAAUCAAAGAAUGGUGUAAUGUUGGUUGAGAAUAAGUUUUGGAAGGCUGGGGUCUAAGACGAGCUGCAUCCUGGAAACCUUACCAUGAACAGUCAGAAUGUUUGCUACGUCCACAGCAGGACACACGCACAGGGACAACAGUGAGCCUUCAUCCAAGCUGCUGCUAAGCUACUGUCACGGAUGGCUGAACCGGAGCAGCUGGCCAGGCUGCCGGAGCUCCGUGGCUGGGCAGACCAGCUGGCUUCGAGUAGACCACAUCCCCCAAAGCACUAAGAGGCCUGGGGGAAAGGAAGAGGAUAUGCCUUGACAACCUUCUAAAUUAUGGAUGACACCAGUCCUCAGCCUGUUUGAGCUGCCACAGAAGCAAGACCUUCUCUGCAGCCAUGAGUAAGAUACAAGCAUCAGGAACGGUGUGUGCUGCAUAUGACAUCACUUCCUCCGCUCACCCUUGUGGAGCUGUGUGGAAGCAGGCUUAUUUUGAUUAAAUUAAUUUUUAUUUUUAGCCUCUGCAUGAGGAAGUGGUUAGUUUACUUAAUCUCCACGUCUCUCCAAAUAGGAAAGAGAUGUUUUGGAAGCCUUGCCUGAAUGCAUACAUUAUAAAGCAAAUAAAAAAAUCACAAACAAACAAACAACCCGAACAUUCGCUCGUGAGAGAAAACCAAUAAUGGUCACAAUGAAGAUCAAAAAUGAAUUUCAAUGAGGAAGCACAGAUGAGGCCUUGAGGUGGCUCUGUAUGGUUGCUGGAAAGUCAGCUUCAUGCGUGGCUCAGAAGGCAAGGGAAUGUUCUCUUUCUUUCUUUUCACUGUGUUGUCACCCUUACACAUCUGGGAGAAGAAAACAUCAACUGAAGAAUUGCCUCCGGCAGACUGGCUUCUGAGCAUGUCUGUGAGGCAUUGCAUUGGCUGGCUGAUGAUUGACGGCAGAGGGUUCAGCCCACUGUGGGUGGUGCCAUUCUGGCUGAGCACGUGGUUCUGGGUUGUAAAAGAAAGAUGGCUGAGCGCAAGCAGGGCUAACAAGCGGUGCUCCUUUAUGAUUACUGCUUCAAGCUCCUGCCUUACGUUCCUGCUGUGGCUUCUCCUUAUGAUGGGCUGUCAAGUGGAAGAUGAAAUGACCUUUCCAUUCCCCAAGUGGUUUUGCUUCAUUUCCGGAAGAACUUCAAUUCCAUUGGCCUUCGUACACGUCUACUUUUUCCAAGCUCCCGUGUUUGGAACUAUAUCUGUUACUCUGAAGCAUGAAUUGAUCACCUGUGCUGUGAUAAACGGGCACUGUGGCUGAUGGCGAGGAGCCAGGAGGAUAAGGUGGAGACUUUGCCUUCAAGGGGCUCACAGUCAAGUGGGGAAGUGGCAUAGAAACCAGUCCCAUCUUUCCAUUUCUAUGAAGCACUUUAUAUCCCAAGGGCCAGGAAAGGCCUUCCAGGAGGUCGAAGGGCAAGAGCUGUGACUUGUGGCUCAUUCGAAGACAGCAGGCUUGCCCAUAUUGCAGGAGGAGCCUACGAGGAAGGAUAAAGAUUGAGGUCCAGGGAAGGUAAGGUGACUGUCAUCCAAGGGCCCAGGAGGAUGCUAAGGAAUUACUCUCUGCACUGCACCAAUCCCGUGGAGUGGCCCUUAACUUCAGUGCUGCGGCCCUUCAAUACAGUUGCUCAUGGUGGUGACCCCCAACCAUAAAGUGACUUUUGUUGCUACUUCACAAGUGCAAUUUUACUGUUACUGUUAUGAUCUUAGGUGGUCCCUGUGAAAGAGUUCUUCAGCCCCCAAAAGGGUCAUGACUGAACCAUGGUGUUGACCCCUCCUCAGUUCACUGGACUCAUGUAAACAUUACCCCUUCUUCCUGGCUUUCCCCUUGAAGCCUUUUCUUACUUUAUCCCAAAGCCGUCUCUCCCCCGAGCUUUUAUGUCAGUUUCUAUCUUGUACUAUCUGUGAUACAAGAAUCAUGGCAUGUAUUAUUUCCAUGGAAAGGUUGCCUAUUUUAAAAUAGUUAUUUACUUUUAUCAUUUAGUUUGAUCUGUAAAGCAGAAUAAGCAGUAUUUCUCUCUGUGUUAUCUUGAGCUUCUAAAAUAACUGCUGUUUGUGUCUCUGUUCCCGGUUAGACUGAGACCCUCUUCAACACAGGGUUGCCUCGGGCUUCAGUAAGCCUACCACAUCUCACACAGAAUUACUGUUCACUACAUGUAGCAAAUUAUUUUCUAGAGAUUUAUUUAUUAUAGCUUGUGUGUUUAAGUACACCAUAUGCAUUCUUAGUGCUUAUAGAGGCCAGAAGGUGGCACUGAAUCCCCUCGUUGUGAGCCCCCAUGGUGGGGAUCCAAUCAGGAUCCUCUUCAAAAGCAGCAAGUGUUCGAAACCAUGGAGUCCUCUUCCCAGCCCCCAAGUGUGAGUCUUUCUUUCUAAAACUGUGUAACUUUGCAUAAUAUUAUGUUCAUUCCUUUCAGAUGUGUGCUGUGUGCCUGGGCUUAGUCAUCGGAGGCUUCCAGGGUUAAGCUGAAGAAGGAGAUGCAUAGUUUGUGGAUUGGAGUGAUGCCCUAGAUUUUAGAGAAUGGAGUUGAGUACUCUGUAUAUGGGAUUUCAACUGCCCAUGAAAAUUCUUUACAGUUCAAGAUAUUUUAAAUAUUGACCUUACUCACGUGUCAAUGAAAGGCAACUACUUUGAAAACAAGACAACUUGUGUUACAAAAGAACUAACAAAACCCAGAAACAUUUCACAAACAUACAUCCAACUGUGAACAGUCUCUUUAUGUCUUCUCACUUUCAUAUCUGCACAUUUAUUGCAGCACCAUGCUUCCUCUGCCUGAUGCAUCGCUGGACUGAUUCUUCACUUCUUACACAUUCCCCCCUCCCCUCUGUCUGUUGGAUAUCUUCUUUAUUACAUUU